AAAUUGAAGAGUUUGAUCAUGGCUCAGAUUGAACGCUGGCGGCAGGCCUAACACAUGCAAGUCGGACGGUAGCACAGGGGAGCUUGCUCCCCGGGUGACGAGUGGCGGACGGGUGAGUAAUGUCUGGGAAACUGCCCGGUGGAGGGGGAUAACUACUGGAAACGGUAGCUAAUACCGCAUAACGUCUUCGGACCAAAGUGGGGGACCUUAGGGCCUCACGCCACCGGAUGUGCCCAGAUGGGAUUAGCUAGUAGGUGGGGUAACGGCUCACCUAGGCGACGAUCCCUAGCUGGUCUGAGAGGAUGACCAGCCACACUGGAACUGAGACACGGUCCAGACU
rnacentral:rRNA from 1 species